UACGGAGGGUGCAAGCGUUAUCCGGAUUUACUGGGUUUAAAGGGUGCGUAGGUGGGUUUGUAAGUCAGUGGUGAAAUCUUCGAGCUUAACUCGGAAACUGCCAUUGAUACUAUAGGUCUUGAAUUAUCUGGAGGUGAGCGGAAUAUGUCAUGUAGCGGUGAAAUGCUUAGAUAUGACAUAGAACACCAAUUGCGAAGGCAGCUCACUACGGAUAUAUUGACACUGAGGCACGAAAGCGUGGGGAUCAAACAGG
rnacentral:rRNA from 1 species